GAUGAAGAACGCAGCGAAAUGCGAUAAGUAAUGUGAAUUGCAGAAUUCUGUGAAUCAUCGAAUCUUUGAACGCACAUUGCGCCCGUCAGUAUUCUGGCGGGCAUGCCUGUUCGAGCGUCAUUACGCCCCUCAAGUCCCCUGUGGACUUGGUGUUGGGGAUCGGCGAGGCUGGUUUUCCAGCACAGCCGUCCCUUAAAUUAAUUGGCGGUCUCGCCGUGGCCCUCCUCUGCGCAGUAGUAAAACACUCGCAACAGGAGCCCGGCGCGGUCCACUGCCGUAAAACCCCCCAACUUUUUAUAGUUGACCUCGAAUCAGGUAGGACUACCCGCUGAACUUAAGCAUAUCAAUAAGCGGAGGA
rnacentral:misc_RNA from 1 species